rnacentral:rRNA from 1 species
UACGAAGGGGGCUAGCGUUGUUCGGAUUUACUGGGCGUAAAGCGCACGUAGGCGGAUCGUUAAGUCGGGGGUGAAAUCCUGGAGCUCAACUCCAGAACUGCCUUCGAUACUGGCGAUCUUGAGUCCGGAAGAGGUGAGUGGAACUCCUAGUGUAGAGGUGGAAUUCGUAGAUAUUAGGAAGAACACCCGUGGCGAAGGCGGCUCACUGGUCCGGUACUGACGCUGAGGUGCGAAGCGUGGGGAGCAAACAGG